rfam:Gasterosteus aculeatus cont1.014020, whole genome shotgun sequence.
UUUAAAGUGUAAUGUAAGUCGCUUUGGAUAAAAGCGUCUGCUAAAUGUAAUAAA